GUAAGUAUAUAUAUGCACUGGAGUCAACAGGUAUCUCUUUUCUUCUCUUUGUUUGAAAAUCUCUACAAAAAAUGAAGGUUUAGGUACCCAAGGAUGUAUAAUAACAAAAAUAUUGUUUGACACUUGGUAGAAGAAUAAUUGGUUCCUGCAAUUUCUUCAGACCACUGUCAAUUUACCACCUUUUUUCUUUUAAAGGCCAAUGGAGUGGCCCUCACGCAGACAGUAAGUCAUGCCAUUAAAGUAAACAAGAAAACAAAUAAAAGCUAUACCUGUCAUGUUGUUUAAACUAUAUUGAUGAGAAGGGAAAACAGGCCAUAGAACUGAUUAUGUUUAUUAGAUAACAGGCAGCCUAUGCUGUCAUUGUGCUCUGACUUAAGGACUUGUCUAGCAAGAGGACAACGUUGCCUCUUAAAAACAGGAAUAUCUGAAAAGGAAGGAUGCACUGCUUUUCGAGGGCCUGCAUUUAUUUAUUUUUUUCCUUAGAUUUUUUUUUUUUCUAAUUACUGUCUUUAAGGUAGAUAAAUUUGAAAUUCACUGCCCUUAUAAAAAUAGCAAGUAUUGGCACAUCUCCUUUUAAAUAUACCUUGUUUAGGCUAGCUAAGACUUUGAGCUGCUGAAGAAAGAGCUACCCAUUGCAUGAUAGCUGUUAGAUGUUGGAUAGCUGUUAAGUUAGAUGAAUCACCUGCUGAAAACACCUUGUUUUCCUAAUUGCCUACAGAUGGAUCCCAGAUGAAAAGUGUAGUCUAAACACCUGGGGUGGGAAUUCAAUUGCUUAAAUAUAAGGUUUCAAAGCAGUUUAGCUCUUUUGGGUUACCUAGAAGGGGUUGUGCAGGGCUGGCAGAGAUGACCUAGUAUCUGUGGCUUCCUUUGACAUCUAAAGUUGACUGACAAAGAAGAUCAGGUAGAUUAGGCUGUUGAUACCUAAAUGAUACUGGGUAUUUGUGGUUUUAUUUUUGAAGUGCAUCUAGAAUGCUGCGGUUAGCAGAGGAAAGCUGCAGACAGAGGAAGGAAGUAGAGGGCAAGAAAGACACCGAGUUUACUGAAUACAACAAUUGUUUUUCUAACCCUGUGCAUGUGUGUGGAUGCUUGGUUUGGAAGGCACACCAGAGGGAAGACAAAUCAAUAAAAGCUGUUCUCACAGAAAUCUGAGGAGCUUCAGACGACAAAAUUAUUUGAUGAGCUGCCCUUUGAGUCAAUCAGCAUUAUUCCAUUGGAAAAAAAAAAAUGUAAACAAGCAAGGAUCAAAUUAAUACAUAAAGCAAAAGGAAUGGAUGUUGCUGUAAUUACGUUUAAUACAUCUGGACAAAAGGUGAGUUCCACAUCUGCCUUCGGUCUCUACAAUGGCUCAGCUCCACAUAAAGGGAGAGGCAUGAUUAUAGAUUAGAGCUGCCAUAGAUUUAGGCAGCUCUGCCACAUGUCAAAAUAAAUUUCCUAAAACAAAGCA
rnacentral:lncRNA from 1 species